rnacentral:ncRNA from 1 species
AAUAGAGGCGCGGUUAUCAUCAGUACCGCUGCGGAGGGCGUCGCCGCCCUAUGAUGUAGAUGGGAAAGGGAUCACCGCCGAAGGGGUCGGAUGGCGAUUGUUCGGCUGCCUGGGCAACAGGUAAACAGCCUGUUGACUGUCAUCAGACCACUUCUGGUGGAGCACUUCUGA